CCCAAUAGGAACUCUGGGAACGCAAACCUCCGGCCUGUCAGAGACGUUCCCAAACUCCCGCCUCCUCGCCCCUUCCGCGGCUCUCGUAACCAAUAGGACUGAGACGUCCCUCCCGAGCCAGCCAAUCGGAAGGCGCAUUGCUGAAAAGUGCUCUUGCGUAAGGACGUUCGACUUCUGUGGAGCCCAGGUGAGAAAGGCCCUCCUGUGUCCCGGUUGAGGGUCUUCAGGGUUCUUUGGGGCCAGAGGCUGAGGAGAAGGAGGAAGAGAAGGGGUUGGUCUUGCAAUCUCAAGGGUGGCAAAGACCCAGAAGGUAGAAGGGGAGGCAGGAAAGAGUCUUCCUCUGUCACCCAGGCUGGAGUGCACUGGCACAAUCUCAGCUCACUACAACCUUUGCCUCCUGGGUUCAAGCGAUUCUCCUGCCUCAGCCUCCUGAGUAGCUGGGACUACAGGAUUCCUGAAAUCAUGGAUCACCCACAUACGCUUUGA
rnacentral:lncRNA from 13 species